GUCAGCGGACAGAUGCACUUGUAUCUUAAACAUUUGAAUCGGGGGGCCAAUGCGUACUGGUGAAUUGUUACGUCCCUAUUGUUUAGCAGUGUGAAUCACAAAUUCAUUCAUUUCUACCUGUUAGCCGCUGAAGAGACUACUGACCCCAUGGCCUUGAGUCAGGGGAAAUUCCAGAGAACGCACUAGUGAUAAAGGUUGUGAUGGUCCUACCAUGGACUGUCCUAGUGAUAACGGUUGUGAUGGUCCUACCAUGGACUGUCCUAGUGAUAACGGUUGUGAUGGUCCUACCAUGGACUGUCCUAGUGAUAAAGGUUGUGAUGGUCCUACCAUGGACUGUCCUAGUGAUAAAGGUUGUGAUGGUCCUACCAUGGACUGUCCUAGUGAUAAAGGUUGUGAUGGUCCUACCAUGGACUGUCCUAGUGAUAACGGUUGUGAUGGUCCUACCAUUUACUGUCCUAGUGAUAACGGUUGUGAUGGUCCUACCAUGGACUGUCCUAGUGAUAACGGUUGUGAUGGUCCUACCAUGGACUGUCCUAGUGAUAAAGGUUGUGAUGGUCCUACCAUGGACUGUCCAAGUGAUAAAGGUUGUGAUGGUCCUACCAUGAACUGUCCUAGUGAUAAAGGUUGUGAUGGUCCUACCAUGGACUGUCCUAGUGAUAAAGGUUGUGAUGGUCCUACCAUGGACUGUCCUAGUGAUAAAGGUUGUGAUGGUCCUACCAUGGACUGUCCCUAGUGAUAACGGUUGUGAUGGUCCUACCAUGGACUGUCCUAGUGAUAAAGGUUGUGAUGGUCCUACCAUGGACUGUCCUAGUGAUAACGGUUGUGAUGGUCCUACCAUGGACUGUCCUAGUGAUAACAGUUGUGAUGGUCCUACCAUGGACUGUCCUAGUGAUAACGGUUGUGAUGGUCCUACCAUGGACUGUCCUAGUGAUAAAGGUUGUGAUGGUCAUUGACUUAAAGAACAAUGAGGGAGUCAGAUCCACCAUUCCAGGUAGCGCAGCAUCAUUGAUCAACCAAUCCUACAAUGAGGUGGCUGUGGAGCCAGAGAUCACAACCUCAGCUAAUCCAGUUCACAACUUCUGCUUCCUGUGGCCCUGGGUCACACCUGCUGUUUGUGUGUUUAUAACAACAGCAUGUCUCAAGUUGCAGGAUCUCAACGUCUUACUGUUCACACCCCAGAGCAUGGUAGACUUCACUAGCGCUAUUUCCGAGCCAUCUCUCAGCUCCAGACAGUCAAUGUACAAUAUAGAACACCUACUGAAAACCUGUUGCAGAUUGUCCUCUCCACUGUGCAGUCCACUUUGCCAAUCUUGACAUCAG